AAAAAUUAAUAAAAUACCAUGUUAUAAAGACAAAGAAUAAAUACAUGCAUCAGAUGAGAUCAAAAUACUGCCCCAUAUGCUGCAUCCAAUGUUCUUUUCAUCAAGUUCUCGUCUCCUUGAUGACUCAAUGAUCAUCAAUUUACUCAAUCCUCCCACGACUUGCAAAACACAUCUGCUAGUAUUAGAAUUUGAAAUAUACAGAAUAUUAAGCAUGAAAAGUUGGACAAAUUAAAUAAGUUAGCUUGUACCUUUUCUAACCGAAUGAUAUAUAUUUGGUGCUUCCCAGCCUCUUAACUGAAGAUUGACCCGCAGAUGCCAUGUCUAUUUCUCCCUGGCAGCAACUUCAACAGGUCAGCAGCAAGGAAACUUCAUUCUUUAGAAAAUUAUAGUUGCGUACAGCAAAGGCCAUGGCCCGGUGCCCAGCAGCAGCUAGCAAGCACGCACACGAGCACACCACAAGUACGUACACACAGACACACACAGCAACAGGCACGCACGCCGCACGCGGAAGCAAGAGCACACACAGCCAACACACAAGCAAACGCGGGAGGACCGGACGCGAGGAUAGCAGGGAAUGGAGAAGGUGGACGGGAUACCUUGAUGGCGGCGUCGG
rnacentral:lncRNA from 1 species